rnacentral:lncRNA from 1 species
AUGGGCUUUGCUAUUCUCCUAAAGGCAUUCAGAACAAACUCAGGUGACCUAUUGCUAAUAGACCUUCUUCCAAGGGUAUGCAUCAAUUUUUUUCAAAAAAUUUCUUGGUAUUUAGAGCCAUUUAUUCUAACAGACUUGGCAGUCUGCAAACAAAGGAGGGAGAGAUAAUGUAUGGCCCACAUCAGAUAUUAAUCAAAUAAAAAAGAAUUUUGUUUAUGCAGCCCAUUCUCAACACACUCAAAUGUCAAAUUCAUUUUAAAGAUAUUUCACCUCCUGCUUAAGCCUCCUGAGCUGCUAGGAUUACAGGCAUGAGCCUUCGAAUCCAGUCUGAGAAUGUUUCCUUAUGAUACGUUUUUUAAAGAGUUAAUCCUUUACCUUUUAGUAUUGGGUGGCACUAUGCCAAAGUAAAUAAAUGCUUUGCUUUUCCCCUGAAUCUCCCAUGCUUAUGAUACACAGGGCAUUUCAAUUGAUCCUCAGACACCCACACUACAGCAUAUAUUGAAUAUAUAUACUAUCCUUCCUGUAUUUUCUAUACAGCAUGCCCUUACUCUGGUUUACUAAGUAUUAAAUGUAUCAAAAAGCCAUUUCAUCAACUCUUCCAAUCUUUAUCUCACCCAUUUAAAAGAAAAUCAGAUUUGAUGUUUUAAAAAUUUUGUAUGUUUCAAUAGUUUAUUAUGGAAAAUGUCAAACCUAAAUACAGGGCAUCUAUAGUAACAAAACAGACCAGUGGUUGCCUCUGGAGGUGGAUAUUAACUCAUAAAGGGUAGGAAACAACUUCUUGGGUUGAUGAAAAUAUUUCAUAUCUUGAUUGGAGUGUGUGUUGAUGGGUGUAUACAAUAGUCAUCAAAUGGGCAGCUUAAAAUGUAUGCAUUGUAUUGUAUAUAAGUUAUGUCUCAAUUAAACAAAACAAAACAAAAACAAAAACAAAAGAUAUUUCACCUUAUCAUGAAAGGUUUAUAACACCUAUUAGAAUUUUUUGUUUAUUUUUUAUGAUUUAAGCUUUAAAGAAGUUUGUAUCCCA